UGUGCUGUGCUUCCUCGUGUGCUUGGUGCCAAAGCUGGCAAAGGCAGAGGGAGCCUGGGCUGGUCUCCCCUACAGGCAUAAAUGGAUGAAGGUCAACAAGGUCCACUUGAGGGCUGAAUGAAUAAUCACUACCCAGGCUGCUGCCUAAUAGUGGAAAAACUGCUUUUGGCUUAUGCUUUUGUAAGUGUUCCGAUGAAUGGCAAAGGGCAUUGAGUUUGGUAGAGGUUGCUGCAAGAAAAAAAUAAAAAUAGCUGUAGUGAGAAACAAAUAUAUUUUGGAUGAAGAGCUGUCAGGCACUGAGGCAGGCUGUGGGUUGGGAUGCACUGUGGUCACUCUGGAGUGUCUACCUCCAGACUGGACAUUGCUAGCAGGAUCCUGGUUACAGGAGAUGCAUCUCCAUCGUGGAGGUAUAUGUUCAUAACCCAGCAUCUCUUUUGGUACUUGGGCUUGGAAAGUGAUAACACUAAUUUAGAAACAGUAAUCUUCUAGACAAGUACACUCAUCUUUUCUUCUACAGCUUCAGAAGUCUGAGAGUCCAAUGGGAAGAAAAACCACAGCAAUUAGCAAUGCUGCUGUUAGUACUGAUGGGAGGGAAAAUGUCUUCAUAAUGCAUGCAGACUUUGAGGUUUGUGCAGUGUAUGAAAUUAAAAUGGGCAAAGAGCCAGGGCUGAGAAAUACUAAGGUUUAGUAAAACAGGAAAAGUGGUGGAGCUGAAAAAAAGAAUGAGAGGGUGGCUGACACUCAGCUUCAGCAGUGAUACAUGGUCACAAAGGCACCCUGAGCAGAUAUCUGAGUGCUCGUGAUAUGCAUCUGCUAGUUAAAGAUCAUAAAACUCAUUUUCCUUUUGUUACAGCACUGAAGGAGUUGUUGGAGCACAGAAGCAGGUUUAUCUAGUGACCGGAGGCUCAGUGUAGGUUCUUCUGGAGCAGCUUGAAUUCAAGACUGAAGAACGACAGGACUUGCCCUUUCUCCUGACCACAAAGAUAAGCAGUCUUAUAAAUAUAUAGAAAUAAAUAGCCCACAACUUCUGUGGCUGUUUGCUAUAAUACCUGCAUGAGUUUUUAUUCUGAAGAAGACAUUUUUUGCUUUUUCUUUAGUGCUUAGACAAUUCUUGGGAGUGUUCAAGUGGUCCUUGGCAAAUAGUGUGUCUCAUCCUGUAGCAUGAAGGUGUUUUGUGGUGGGGUUUUGGGAGGGAGGGUUUUAUUUUUGAGGAAUUUAGAAGAGACUCUGACUUACUGAAAGUCUGCAAGACUUUUUUUGUCUCCUGAUUUUGCUCUUAAAACACUUAAACCCAGAGUUAGUGUGUUUUUGCAUGACAGCAGCCGUGCUUGUAAAACGUGGAGAAAACACUGUGCUCUUCUGAGGCCCUGAGGAAGAAUAUUAAAGAGGAAAUUUUUCCAGAAUACUUAUUUGCCAAUAGCAGGAAGUCCUAUUAGGAAGAGGGGUUUAAAAAACAGCUUCAAAGUUUUCUGCUUUAGAAGAGGGUGGGGGAAGUAGGAAUGGAAUUAACGUGCAAGUAACAGUCUAAGUAUUUUAAUUGUGUUUGGAUUGCACUGGGUUGAAACUUGUCUGGCUGAUGGACCAAAGCCUUGAUGAAGUGAAGCUUGAAGAGACUUAAUUUCAAGCACAGGACACUUGGUCAUAAAUGUACAUUGUAUUUUUAGCUUGCUGUGUCAGUUGACACCCUUGUUCUGUGUAGUUUCAUCUGCCUGACAAAAGCAGUGUGACAAAGGUGUUCUCUCUCCACUGAAGACACAUGGAAGCAGGUCAGCCAUUUGUUGAAUUAUUGAUUUUGUGUGAUGUAAGAAGCUAACCUGGUGCCUCUGGGAAGGCAGCUCUGAUCUCUGUGCCAUCCCAAGGACACAAUCUCAAGCUUCCCUUCCAGUGCAUUUAGCACCAGAAGAUCUUCCAAACACUCUGGUUCCCUGAUGAACAUGAAUCCUGCCCUGUGUUUUCUUUGGCAUCUGUGCUGGAGACUGCCAGGUCCUGAAAAAAAACCCCAAAACAUGCAGGAAACCUUCUGGUGCUGGUGUUAUGCCAAGGUGGGACGAGAUCCAGACCACAGACUUGAGAGACCAGAACAAGACCUAAUAACUUGAGAAUGUUCCCCAUUGAGUCUUGGCAGCCUGCUGUGGUGUCCCAAAAACCAGCUUGUUCCUGGAAGGGAGGAAAACUUCAGGAAAAACCUUUCCGUGUCUUCAGACUCCCGUGGCUUUCCCGUGUGACCAAAGGCCAGGCGGUCGGCUGCCCGUGGGCAAGAUGGUUAAACCCAGGGGGAAAGCGCUCGGAUUUCGCAGCUCUUAGCUGAAUAAAAUGAAUAAAAUGAAAUAUCCACCUGAUGGCAGCAGAGAACGGGGAAUGAGAGAGCCCGGGCUGGCUGCGCGGUCGCCAGCCCCGCUGGUGCAUCGGGGGAUUCCCAAAACGUGAA